AUUGAACGCUGGCGGCAGGCUUAACACAUGCAAGUCGAGCGGGGGAGGUUGCUUCGGUAACUGACCUAGCGGCGGACGGGUGAGUAAUGCUUAGGAAUCUGCCUAUUAGUGGGGGACAACAUUCCGAAAGGGAUGCUAAUACCGCAUACGCCCUACGGGGGAAAGCAGGGGAUCUUCGGACCUUGCGCUAAUAGAUGAGCCUAAGUCGGAUCAGCUAGUUGGUGGGGUAAAGGCCUACCAAGGCGACGAUCUGUAGCGGGUCUGAGAGGAUGAUCCGCCACACUGGGACUGAGACACGGCCCAGACUCCUACGGGAGGCAGCAGUGGGGAAUAUUGGACAAUGGGCGGAAGCCUGACCCAGCCAUGCCGCGUGUGUGAAGAAGGCCUUUUGGUUGUAAAGCACUUUAAGCGAGGAGGAGGCUCUUAAGGUUAAUACCCUUGAUGAGUGGACGUUACUCGCAGAAUAAGCACCGGCUAACUCUGUGCCAGCAGCCGCAGUAAGAC
rnacentral:rRNA from 1 species